AAGAGAGAUGUGAUGCAGGAAUGCUCAGCCUUGGUGCCUGGCACAAAAGUUAAAGUUGCUGUUGUCAUGACUGCCUCAGAAGAGAGGUGUUGGGACCCCUUUUCCUCAACCCCUAUCCCCUCCUGGGGUUGGCAGCUGGUUGGUUCUUCUAUCCACCCACCCAUCUAUCCAUUAAUUCACCCAUCCUUCCAUCCUCCUUCCCAUCUUCCAUCCAUCCCCCUAUUUCUGCCCUCCCACCCUCACUCUCUUGCAUCCCUCCAUCCACCAUCCAUCCAUCCACCAUCCAUCCAUCCACCAUCCAUCUACCAUCCAUCCAUCAGUCCAUCCACCAUCCAUCUAUUCAUCUACCAUCUACUAUCCAUCCAUCAAUCCAUCCAUCCAUCCAUCCACUAUCCAUCAUCCAUCUACCAUCCAUCAAUACAUCCACCAUCCAUCCACUAUCCAUCCACCCAUCCAUCCAUCAUCCACUAUCCAUCAAUCCACCAUCUAUCCAUCAUCCAUCAUACAUCCACCAUCCAUCCAUCCACUAUUCGUCCAUCCACCUAUCCUUCCAUCCAACAUCCAUCCAUCAUCCAUCCAACAUCCACCCAUCCAUCCAUCAUCCAUCUACCAUCCAUCAAUACAUCCACCAUCCAUCCACUAUCCAUCAUCCACCAUCCAUCCAUCUACUAUCCAUCCAUCAUCCACCAUCCAUCCAUCCACUAUCCAUCCAUCCAUUCAUCUACCAUCCAUCCAUCCACUAUCCAGCCAUCAUCUACCAUCCAUUCACCAUCCAUCCACCCAUCCAUCUACCCAUCCAUCUAUCCAUCCAUCCUUCCAUCAAUCCAUCCACCAGCCAUCAUCCAUCCAUCUAUCCAUCCUUCCAUCAAUCUAUCUACCAUCCAUCAAUCCAUCCACCAUCCAUCCAUUCACCCACCAUCCAUCCAUCACCCAUCCAUCCUUCCACCAUCCAUCUAUUCAUCUACCAUCCAUCCACUAUCCAUCUAUCCAUCCAUCCAUCCAUCAUCCAUCUACCAUCUAUCAAUCCAUCCACCAUCCAUCCAUCCAUCAUCCAUCAGUCCAUCCACCAUCUACUACCCAUCCACCAUCCAUCCAUCCACCAUCCAUCCAUGCAUCCACUAUCCAUCCACCCACCAUCCAUCCACCAUCCAUCCACCCAUCCACCCAUCCACCAUCCAUCCAUCCACUAUCCAUCCAUCCUUCCAUCAAUCCAUCCACCAUCCAUCAUCCAUCCAUCCAUCCACCUAUCCUUCCAUCAAUCCAUCCACCAUCCAUCCAUUCACCCACCAUCCAUCUAUUCAUCCACCAUCCAUCCACUAUCUAUCCAUCCAUCCAUCAUCCAUCUACUAUCUAUCAAUCCAUCCACCAUCCAUCCAUCAGUCCAUCCACCAUCUACCAUCCACUAUCCAUCCAUCCAUCUACUAUCCAUCCAUCAUUCACCAUCUAUCCAUCCAUCAUUCACCAUCUAUCCAUCCAUCCAUGCAUCCACUAUCCAUUCAUCCACCAUCCAUCCACCUAUCCACCAUCCAUCCAUUCACUAUCCAUCCAUCCUUCCAUCAAUCCAUCCACCAUCAUCCAUCCAUCUAUCCUUCCAUCAAUCCAUCCACCAUCCAUCCAUUCACCCACCAUCCAUCUAUCACCCAUCCAUCCAUCCACCAUCCAUCUAUUCAUCUACCAUCCAUCCACUAUCCAUCUAUCCAUCCAUCUACUAUCCAUCCAUCCACCAUCCAUCCAUCCAUCAUCCAUCUACCAUCUAUCAAUCCAUCCACCAUCUAUCCAUUCAUCAUCCAUCAGUCCAUCCACCAUCUACCAUCCACUAUCCAUCCACCAUCCAUCCAUUGACCAUCCAUCCAUCAACUAUUCAUCCAUCAUCCAUCCACCAUCCACCAAUCCAUCCACCAUCCACCAUCCAUCCAUUAUCCAUCCAUCCACCCACCAUCCAUCCAUCAUCCAUCCAUUAUCCAUCCAUCCACCAUCCAUUCAUCUACCAUCCAUCCAUCCAUCCAUCCACCUUCCAUCCAUCCAUCAUCCACCAGUCCAUCCGCCAUCCAUCUAUUCAUUUACCAUCCACUAUCCAUCCAUCCGCUAUCCAUCCAUCAUCCAUCUACCAUCCAUCAAUACAUCUACCAUCCAUCCAUCCACCCUUCAUCCAUCCAUCAUCCAUCCAUCCAUCCACCAUCCAUCCAUCAACUAUCCAUCCACCCAUCCUUCCAUCAUCCAUCACCAUCCAUCCAUCUAUCCAUCCAUCCAUUAUCCAUCCAUUAUCCAUCUGUCCAUCCACUAUCCAUCCAUUCAUCCCAGUGACACACACUCUUCUGUAAAGGGACAGAUAGUAAAUAUUUUAGGCUUUAUGAACCAUCCAGUCUCUGUUGCAACUACCAACUCUACCACUGUCUUGUGAAAACAGCUAUAGAUAGAUCAUAUGUAAGUGAAUGCAUAAGGCUGUAUU
ensembl:lncRNA